UUCCGUAUUUUUUUCCUUAUAAAUCGACUUAGUUUUUCUCCUAGGAAACAUAACAUUCACUCUGCGUUUAAAGUCUUUAAACUUUUAAUAAUUUUCUAAAACUAUCUUGUAAUUAUACCGGACUUGGCCAAAAGCUUGUUUAUGAUCCGUAGCUAUUACCUAGCAGAACAUUUUUGUUCCUGGUUUGCUGUAUUUUACUUAUAAAUUGACUUAGUUUUUCUUCCAGUUAGCAUUACAUACAGUCUUCAGUUAAAAGUUUUUAAAACAUUUAUUUGAUUCAAAAUCUAUCCUGAAUUUUUACCAAACUUCUUACAAUCAAAAGAUACCCUAUAGCUGUUUAUUUUAUUUUUUUGGGGUGGGGGUUAUUUUCGCUUUUUUUGGAGAGCAUACUUUUGUUAUUUUUUUAAUUCUUUAUUGAAAAGCACUUUACACCCAUAUGGGCCAAUGGCUUAAAACAUGAUACAUAAUAUACAAUUUACAUAUAUAAAACAAUGAAAAUAAACAAUGUAGACACUUUGAACUAUACUCCUUGUCUUUCUUUAAAUCAAUAUAUAUAUAUAUAUAUAAGAGAUUCAAAUUAUAUCAAGGACUCCCUGUCCUCGGUCUUAGUGACUUUUUUAAGAAGGAGCCUAAUUUGCAAGUGUCCUGUUUUGUUUCAGGAUUGAGGAUAUGUUUUAAUUUAUCUAUAUCAUUUAAGUUAUUAUAUUUAUUUUCAUUUAAUAGUUAUAGUGUCUGUCGGUUGGUCAAUAACAGUAUAAGCUUAGUUUUGUACAACAUAAACAGCUAGAAGCUCUAAAGAGCCUGUGUCUCUCACCUGUAUUGACUGAUGCUUUGGAAAUCAUGUAAAAUAAGGUUAAAAUCAUAGUUUAUAGUAUUAGAUAUAAUAAUAUCUAAGAUAAUAGCUAAAAACUGCAAAAUUUCGGUACAAGUAAUAGCUUUUCUCAAAAAGCUUGUCCCUUUUUCUCGCUUAUUACGCUGUAAAAUGAUUUUUAAUUUUGUACACUCAUAGGACAAAAGUGAGUUCUCAUUCCAAAACUGUUCUACCAUUUUACUAAAAUCGAUAUGUACAAAAAUAUAUUACUAAUUCUAAUAUGACGUGUUUCUUUCACUUUGUAUACAAAAAAUCUAUACUUAUGAUAUACAUAAU
rnacentral:lncRNA from 1 species